UACGUAGGGUGCGAGCGUUGUCCGGAGUUAUUGGGCGUAAAGAGCUCGUAGGCGGUGUGUCGCGUCGGUCGUGAAAACUUGGGGCUUAACCCUGAGCUUGCGGUCGAUACGGGCAUCACUGGAGUUCGGCAGGGGAGACUGGAAUUCCUGGUGUAGCGGUGAAAUGCGCAGAUAUCAGGAGGAACACCGGUGGCGAAGGCGGGUCUCUGGGCCGAUACUGACGCUGAGGAGCGAAAGCAUGGGGAGCGAACAGG
rnacentral:rRNA from 1 species